rnacentral:rRNA from 1 species
GCAGCAGCCACGGGAAUACAGAGGGUGCGAGCGUUAAUCGGAUUUACUGGGCGUAAAGCGUGCGUAGGCGGCUUUUUAAGUCGGAUGUGAAAUCCCUGAGCUUAACUUAGGAAUUGCAUUCGAUACUGGGAAGCUAGAGUAUGGGAGAGGAUGGUAGAAUUCCAGGUGUAGCGGUGAAAUGCGUAGAGAUCUGGAGGAAUACCGAUGGCGAAGGCAGCCAUCUGGCCUAAUACUGACGCUGAGGUACGAAAGCAUGGGGAGCAAACAGGAUUAGAUACCCCCGUAGUCCCUGUCUCUUAUAC